CUCAUCCAAUCUUUGGGCGGCCAACAAAACCCCAAAAUUUCAUUUCAAAUUUCAAAUCCAGAGCCCUUUUUCAAUUUCGUUUUCUCUCUCCCUCAAAGAUCUGGAUUUGGAUCUGGAUUGGAUGUGCUCUCUCUUCACAAUUCACCACAAGUUAUGCCGGAGAAACACUGAAACGCAUAAUUAGUCAGAUCUUGAAGGAUUUUCGACCUGAAAUCACUGUUAGGAGGUUACAAUCAAAUGUACAAGAGGCUGAGAGGUAUUGGUUUUCUCAUAAUCGAAAGAUGGAUGAAGGGCAGUGAUGAACUGGGAUUUGAUAGGAGUUUCAGGGGACCUCUGAUGGUGUUAUAUUCAAGUGCGUCUCUUACCCUAUUUAGGUUCACCUGCGAUGUGAUUUCUUCUAUGUUGAAGGCUAUGAUGAUCCAGAUUUCCGUUUUAGAAGGGUGAAAGUUUAGCUGCACUUGCAAAGCUUUUGAUAAGAUUUGCAUUCCUACAAUAUUGAACAAAAUUUUUAGGCAAUAAUUAUAUCCGCUGAGGAAUUUUCCCACGGACUAGAGGCGUAAACUGAUGUCCCUUGAAGAAUGGCUAUCCUAUUUUUACAGUUUGAGGCUUUUUGUUUCCCCUGGACUGGAUCCAAAUGCAAAUAUUUUAGUUGCAAGCUAAACCUUUUGUUCUGAAAAUACACGGUCCAUGUUACGCCUGAUAAGUGUGAUUAGAAACGAAUCCAUCAAAGAGAAUCUGAUUACUCAUAAAAGUGGCAUCAGGUGACCCUACAAUAGCAUUUGAGUAUGUUUUCAGUUUUGAGUUCCAUGUCAAAAGGAAUAUAUACUAUAUUAUGUUAUAUUAACAUGUUCAGAGUUUAAUUAUCUGGUUACAUUUUUUACUUCACAUAUCCUCUUGCUCCAGAUCUCGCUACAGGUUCUACACAUCUGCCGCUGGGGGAAGAAUAAGGAAGGCAACACUGCCAAGCGGUUAAGUAUCUUCAAGCCAGUUUAUCUGUUUAUGGAUGUAUUAUCUUAAAAGUUACUUAAAAAGUUAAAUAAUAUAACCUUUCUAUGGAUGUAUGCCUUUGUUUAAGCAGUUGGUCUUAAUUAACAAUCAAACCAUGACUGGUACAAUCUGUAGCCUCAUUUUUGAAAAGCUAAGAUCUUUUUAGUGUACACAAUAUUUUGUGGUUUCUAUUUAGAUAUUUCAAACAUUCAAGUACUGUGUUGAGCAUGAGUUUCUGCAUGACGCGGGGAAAAAUAUUUGUGACAGUGUUCGUGGGGUGAAUUAAGUUUCAAGCUAUUAGAGAUUUGUGAAUUAUAACUGUAAUUCGAUUUUCUUUUUAUAUGUAAUAUGCAAUUUAAAUUUAUGAAAAGAUUUACGGAUUUAUGAUAACCAUCGUUUUCUGAAACCCAUGUAAUUUAUGAGAUUAUAAUUAAGUAUAUUGAUUUCUAACAUUGCAUAGGACGAGACUCUUUAAAAAGCUAUUCCACAACGGAAACUCCUGACCUUCUGAAUAUGUCAACCCUUAUGGCCGAAAAUGUUAAUUGAUCCAAACUGUUGUGGCAUGUUUAUUAAACAUAAGUUUUGCAGAUUAUGCUGUUGUUAAGGAAUUACGGUUGGUUUACCCCAAUAUGGGUGGAAGGCUUUGGACUUUGCAGCUUUGGAUCGACUGGAAAACAUUUUAAUGAAGAUCGAACUCAACGGAGCGGGCAUGAUCCCGUGUUUAUGUGCAGUCCAGAAUGGGUCGGGCCGUGCAUGCAACCAACCAACACUUUUAUCAGCUCGAUUCAUUUAUAGGUCUGUAAGAUUGUAGAGGGCCAGAGGUACUCAAAGAGGCUAAAUGAGCGACAUAUUACUGCUCUUCUUAAGGUCACCUGUCAGCGCCCCCAGGAAAGAAAAGGGGAUAUUCUCAAGACUUUCAGACACAAUGCUUAUGGACAGGAUCCUUAUGCGAAGGAGUUUGGGAUAAAAAUUAGCACACAGCUAGCAUCUGUUGAAGCUUGGAUUUUACCUCCUCCUAGGCUUAAGUACCAUGACACCGGCCGCGAAAGGGACUGCGUGCGUCAAGUUGGCAGUUGGCCUAACAAUAUUCUGUUAUAGGCGAAGUAUAAUAUCAUCAGUCUCUUGGUUGAUCGCUGCUCUGACAGGGACAAACACACCCGCAAGUUUGCUUGUUUUGCAAUUAGUAAUGCAGCUUUUCAUAACGACUUCUUAUAUGAAGAGUUGAGUCGAUGUAUCCCUCGAAUUGCAAAUUUGCUGCUUUCAGAAGAAGAUUACAAAAAGAAGGGGAAUGCAUGUGGCAUUUUUAGCAAUCUGGUGCGUCUACCUGGCGUGGGCCCCAACUUGACGGUGGCGGCUGUGGGUUUGCUAUGGCCAUUUCAGGUUUCUAACGAGUCUACCUGGCGUGGGCCCCAACGUUGCAGCCUGCAUAGCUUUGUUCUCUCUAGAUCAACAUCAUGUUGUUCCUGUUGAUACACACGUCUGGAAGAUUGCAACUAGAUAUCUGGUUUCGGAGCUGGCUGGCAAACGUUUGACGCCUUUGGUAGCCUAUUGGUGCUUCUUUAUGUUGCCUUCAUAUAGAGAAUGUAUGAAUAUUGUUCUGUAAUCUAUAGAAUCCUUUCUUUAUGUUAUAACUUAAUUAACAAAUCAAUUUAUAUUCU